ACUAGAAAGUGAUUAAGCAAAAUUUGAUCUUGCUAUUUUCAGUCACUUUUGAAACUAUUUAGGGAUAAAGGUGUCAACUCAGUCACAAUAACAGUCCCCGAGCACUAGAAUGCAAUUAAGCAAGAAGAUUAAUUUAUUACAUACACCAUGCAAGAAGCAGAGAGUAAACUACAAGAAAGAGCAACUUUGAACUCCUAGAAAUUUAAUUUUUUUAACUGAUACAAAUAACCAUAAUUUUGAACUUAUACAUUACUGAACUUGCGUUCAAGUUACAACAGAACAAAAC
rnacentral:lncRNA from 1 species